AUGGCCUUGUGCUGGCGAUGCAUCAUUCAAAUCUCUGCCCUAUCAACUUUUGACGGUACGGUAUUGGCCUACCGUGGUGGUAACGGGUAACGGAGGAUUAGGGUUUGAUUCCGGAGAGGGAGCCUGAGAAACGGCUACCACAUCCAAGGAAGGCAGCAGGCGCGCAAAUUACCCAAUCUCAAUACGAGGAGGUAGUGACAAAAUAUAGCAAUGUCGGGUCUUUUGAUCUGGCAAUUGAAAUGAGUACAGUUUAAAUCUUUUAACGAGGAUCAAUUGGAGGGCAAGUCUGGUGCCAGCAGCCGCGGUAAUUCCAGCUCCAAUAGCGUAUAUUCAUGUUGCUGCAGCUAAAACGCUCGUAGUCGAAUUUUAGAGCGCUGCGUAGUUGGUCUGUUCUUUGAAUGUGUACUGACUUGCGCGCUCUCUGUUCCAAGUAGGACAGUGUUCUUUAUUGAGCGCUGUUUUGUUUGGAAAGUUACUUUGAAAAAAUUAGAGUGUUCAAAGCAGGCAUUUCGCCUUGAAUACAUUAGCAUGGAAUAAUAAAAUAGGACUUUGGCCCUAUUUUGUUGGUUUAUAGAGCCGGAGUAAUGAUGAAUAGGGGCAGUCGGGGGCGUUGAUAUUCAACUGUCAGAGGUGAAAUUCUUGGAUUUGUUGAAGAUCAACUUCUGCGAAAGCAUUCGCCAAGGAUGCUUUCAUUGAUCAAGAACGAAAGUUAGGGGAUCGAAGAUGAUUAGAUACCGUCGUAGUCCUAACUAUAAAUGAUGCCAACUAGGGAUUGGUGGGUGUUUAAUUAUGACCCCAUCAGCAUCUUCCGAGAAAUCAAAGUUUUUGGGUUCUGGGGGGAGUAUGGUCG
rnacentral:rRNA from 1 species